rnacentral:rRNA from 1 species
UACAGAGGGGGCAAGCGUUGUUCGGAAUUACUGGGCGUAAAGGGCGCGUAGGUGGCCCGGUCAGUCCGCUGUCAAAGCCUGGGGCUCAACCCUGGAAAGGCGGUGGAAACUGAAGCGCUAGAGUGCGGUAGGGGUAGAGGGAAUUCCCGGUGUAGCGGUGAAAUGCGUAGAGAUCGGGAAGAACAUCGGUGGCGAAAGCGCUCUACUGGACCGCAACUGACACUCAGGGACGAAAGCUAGGGGAGCGAAUGGG